GCUCAGGAUGAACGCUGGCGGCGUGCUUAACACAUGCAAGUCGAACGAUGAUGCUCCAGCUUUGUUGGGGUGGAUUAGUGGCGAACGGGUGAGUAACACGUGAGUAACCUGCCCUCUUCUUUGGGAUAACGGUCGGAAACGGCUGCUAAUACUGGAUAUUCACUCAUUGGCGCAUGUUGGUGGGUGGAAAGGUUUUUUCUGGUGGGGGAUGGGCUCGCGGCCUAUCAGCUUGUUGGUGGGGUGAUGGCCUACCAAGGCUUUGACGGGUAACCGGCCUGAGAGGGUGACCGGUCACAUUGGGACUGAGAUACGGCCCAGACUCCUACGGGAGGCAGCAGUA
rnacentral:rRNA from 1 species